AUUAAGUUAUCUGACGUUGUACUACAGUGGUUUGCACACAAAGUUAUGUAUAUUAAAAACAAUUCCUAUAAAAUAAUCACCCAUAAAGUUAUGUGGUAACUUGUAAGCAGAGACCAGGUGUACGAAACAGGACGAACCCUGUUAUAAUAACUGAUUAACUGUCAUUGCCCACCCAUGCAAGGAUAAAUAUGUUACAUACGUGUAACUUAUAAGCGGGCACGAGGUGUAUGAAACAGAACACCCGGGUUUUAACAGCUGUCGUUGCUUCCCACGCCCGGAUAAAUAAGUUAAGUAUGUGGUAACUUGUAAGCGAGCACAAG